UACCAGAAAAAAUCUGAAUGCCAUAAUAUGGCGCGUGGAAAGGGAGAACAUGUGGAAUUAAAGAGUCUAAGAUAAGGUGGACUCUUCAACAUUCAACGCACAAAAUAAAUGUGUCCCUUCUAAAAUUUGAUGUGGAGUUCCUUCCAUGAGAAGGACUCUUCAUCCAAUUUCAUGCCAACAUAUCCCAAAGGCCAUCAUAUGGCGCAUUGGAUUAAAUAGGACAUGUGCAAAGAAAGGAAGAAAACAAGAGUCCAAUGUGAAAUGGACUCUCCAUUUCACAUUGCCCAAAAUUCCAAGGGAC
rnacentral:lncRNA from 1 species